UGUCUAGGAGCCUGAGGUAUGCUGUGGUCAGUCUUCCAGACACCCUCCUCAAAGCUCUGUGACAUAAUGACAAUGGAUUGCUAAGCCUGCACACGGCCACCAGACAGUGCCUUGGGAGGCCCAGCCUCAGUUUCCCAUUUUACACAUACACUCUUGGCUGUCUUGCUUCUUUUCCAGUGGCUCCUCCUUCAGUAGAAAGUUAAUUGGAGGGAAGAGCUGCCCAAGGGCUGAGAGGACAAAGAAUUGCAGGUGAUUGCUGGAGCACACGGUCGGAGGAAAUGGGGAGAUGCCAGUCAAAGGUACAAACUUGGGGGCUAUAAAGCAAGCGCUGGAGACCCAGCAUCAAGUGGGAUGCUCCACACCAGUCUGGCGUGCACCACCCUCUUGGGUUCGCCACCACUGCCACCCGUGUUAGGGCUAAUCGGGAGGCGCCACACAGCGACCUGAAGGCCAGCAGCAUUGCAUGACCUACCUGACGCAAGGAAACACCUCACCCUAAGUCCACAGCACCUGGCCAGGAUCCUACUCCAUGUGACACAGGCACUGCCAGUCAGACUACAGUCCACAGGCGAGAGGCGCGUUCCGGAGAGCAGGCACUCAAAGGCUUCCUACCUGAACCAGUUCCUCGGUACCUUUGAAGGCCUCAUGCCUACCUAUGAUUAUCUGUUCCAGGGUAUCUCCUACCUUAGCCUGCUCCAAGCCUGGUACCCCUCUUUAGAAUCCAGCUGUCUCUGUCCACAAGCCUAGAGGGAUGCUACCACAAUGUCAGGAAUAGAGAUCAGGAGAAGGUUGUGUCCUUUCAACCUCUUUUAUCGCCUCCCUCCCCCAUCUCCAUUAG